GACUGCCUCGCCUGUGUAAUCCUGCAGCAUGGAAUGCCCUCCUCACUGGGGGCGCAACACUCUCAUGCCCCAAGCCCCUAGAAGAUAUCUUCACUGCUUCCUAAUGAGGUUAAAAAUACACAACUGGAAAUGAAAAGCAAAGAGCUGCAUCAUCUCACGCCCACCAUGCAGAAGUCCUGAGUCCAAGCUCCAGCAAGCGGCAG
rnacentral:lncRNA from 1 species